AGUCUCACGGCUUUAUCAGCUUGCUGAUAAUGAGAGUGGCGCACGGGUGAGUAACGCGUAUGCAACCUACCUUUUACAGUGGGAUAGCCCAGAGAAAUUUGGAUUAAUACCGCAUAGUAUGCACAAUCGGCAUUGAUUUCGUAUUAAACAUUUAUGGGUAAGAGAUGGGCAUGCGUUCUAUUAGUUAGUUGGAGUGGUAACGGCACCCCAAGACAGCGAUAGAUAGGGGCCCUGAGAGGGGGAUCCCCCACACUGGUACUGAGACACGGACCAGACUCCUACGGGAGGCAGCAGUGAGGAAUAUUGGACAAUGGGCGCAAGCCUGAUCCAGCCAUGCCGCGUGCAGGAAGACGGCCCUAUGGGUUGUAAACUGCUUUUAUACAGGAAGAAACACCCCGACGUGUCGGGGCUUGACGGUACUGUAAGAAUAAGGAUCGGCUAACUCCGUGCCAGCAGCCGCGGUAAUACGGAGGAUCCAAGCGUUAUCCGGAAUCAUUGGGUUUAAAGGGUCCGUAGGUGGACGAUUAAGUCAGAGGUGAAAUCCUGCAGCUCAACUGUAGAAUUGCCUUUGAUACUGGUUGUCUUGAAUCAUUGUGAAGUGGUUAGAAUAUGUGGUGUAGCGGUGAAAUGCAUAGAUAUCACAUAGAAUACCGAUUGCGAAGGCAGAUCACUAACAAUGUAUUGACACUGAUGGACGAAAGCGUGGGGAGCGAACAGGAU
rnacentral:rRNA from 1 species